rnacentral:rRNA from 1 species
GUACACUCCUGCGGGAGGCAGCAGUGGGGAAUUUUGGACAAUGGGCGAAAGCCUGAUCCAGCAAUGCCGCGUGAGUGAAGAAGGCCUUCGGGUUGUAAAGCUCUUUUGUCAGGGAAGAAACGGUGAGAGCUAAUAUCUCUUGCUAAUGACGGUACCUGAAGAAUAAGCACCGGCUAACUACGUGCCAGCAGCCGCGGUAAUACGUAGGGUGCAAGCGUUAAUCGGAAUUACUGGGCGUAAAGCGUGCGCAGGCGGUUUUGUAAGUCUGAUGUGAAAUCCCCGGGCUCAACCUGGGAAUUGCAUUGGAGACUGCAAGGCUAGAAUCUGGCAGAGGGGGGUAGAAUUCCACGUGUAGCAGUGAAAUGCGUAGAUAUGUGGAGGAACACCGAUGGCGAAGGCAGCCCCCUGGGUCAAGAUUGACGCUCAUGCACGAAAGCGUGGGGAGCAAACAGGAUUAGAUACCCCAGUAGUCCCAU